rnacentral:rRNA from 1 species
GUGAGGAAUAUUGGUCAAUGGGCGGGAGCCUGAACCAGCCAAGUCGCGUGAAGGAAGAAGGAUCUAUGGUUCGUAAACUUCUUUUGCAGGGGAAUAAAGUACGGUACGUGUACCGUUUUGUAUGUACUCUGCGAAUAAGGAUCGGCUAACUCCGUGCCAGCAGCCGCGGUAAUACGGAGGAUCCAAGCGUUAUCCGGAUUUAUUGGGUUUAAAGGGUGCGCAGGCGGGUUGAUAAGUCAGCGGUGAAAGUUUGCAGCUUAACUGUAAAAUUGCCGUUGAAACUGUCGAUCUUGAGUGCAAAUGAGGUAAGCGGAAUGUGUUGUGUAGCGGUGAAAUGCUUAGAUAUAACACAGAACACCGAUUGCGAAGGCAGCUUACUGGGAUGCAACUGACGCUCAUGCACGAAAGCGUGGGGAUCAAACAGGAUUAGAAACCCUGGUAGUCC